UUCUACAUGCAUACUUAGAGAUAAUUAGGAGAUAAAGAAAAGAUAAUGUUAGGAUAAUUAUACCAACUAAUUGACUUAAUCAAAUUCUCUUGGGCUCACAAUUAAGAGCCCAAUUAAAUUCAAAUAAAUUUAGGUUAGGUUCAAGGCUAUGAACUUGAUCAAAUCAAAAUCUCAAGAAGAAUUAGAUUUAACUGUGUGCUAAUAUAGUUCUCAUA
rnacentral:lncRNA from 1 species